UCUACGGGUGGCAGCAGUGAGGAAUAUUGGUCAAUGGGCGCGAGCCUGAACCAGCCAAGUAGCGUGAAGGAUGACUGCCCUACGGGUUGUACACUUCUUUUAUAAAGGAAUAAAGUGAGGCACGUGUGCCUUUUUGUAUGUACUUUAUGAAUAAGGAUCGGCUAACUCCGUGCCAGCAGCCGCGGUAAUACGGAGGAUCCGCGAGUUAUCCGGAUUUAUUGGGUUUAAAGGGAGCGUAGAUGGGUUGUUAAGUCAGUUGUGAAAGUUUGCGGCUCAACCGUAAAAUUGCAAUUGAUACUGGCAGCCUUGAGUACUGUUGAGGUAGGCGGAAUUCGUGGUGUAGCGGUGAAAUGCUUAGAUAUCACGAAGAACUCAGAUUGCGAAGGCAGCUUACUAAACUGCCACUGACAUUGAGGCUCGAAAGUGUGGGGAUCAAACAGGAUUAGAUACCCCUGUAGUC
rnacentral:rRNA from 1 species